rnacentral:rRNA from 1 species
GAUGAACGCUGGCGGCGUGCCUAACACAUGCAAGUCGAGCGAAGCACUUUGCUUAGAUUCUUCGGAUGAAGAGGAUUGUGACUGAGCGGCGGACGGGUGAGUAACGCGUGGGUAACCUGCCUCACACUGGGGGAUAACAGUUAGAAAUAGCUGCUAAUACCGCAUAAGCGCACGGUUCCGCAUGGAACAGUGUGAAAAACUCCGGUGGUGUGAGAUGGACCCGCGUCUGAUUAGCCAGUUGGCGGGGUAACGGCCCACCAAAGCGACGAUCAGUAGCCGGCCUGAGAGGGUGAACGGCCACAUUGGGACUGAGACACGGCCCAAACUCCUACGGGAGACAGCAGUGGGGAAUAUUGCACAAUGGGGGAAACCCUGAUGCAGCGACGCCGCGUGAGUGAAGAAGUAUUUCGGUAUGUAAAGCUCUAUCAGCAGGGAAGAA